CCUACGGGUGGCUGCAGUGAGGAAUAUUGGUCAAUGGACGAGAGUCUGAACCAGCCAAGUCGCGUGAAGGAUGACUGUCCUAUGGGUCGUAAACUUCUUUUAUCUGGGAAUAAAGUGUUCCACGUGUGGGCUUUUGUAUGUACCUUAUGAAUAAGGAUCGGCUAACUCCGUGCCAGCAGCCGCGGUAAUACGGAGGAUCCGAGCGUUAUCCGGAUUUAUUGGGUUUAAAGGGUGCGUAGGUGGUUUGUUAAGUCAGUUGUGAAAGUUUGCGGCUCAACCGUAAAAUUGCAGUUGAAACUGGCAGUCUUGAGUACGGGAGAGGUAGGCGGAAUUCGUGGUGUAGCGGUGAAAUGCUUAGAUAUCGCGAAGAACUCCGAUUGCGAAGGCAGUUCGCCGGACUGCAACUGACACUGAGGCACGAAAGUGUGGGUAUCAAACAGGAUUAGAUACCCUUGUAGUC
rnacentral:rRNA from 1 species